GACGAACGCUGGCGGCGUGCUUAACACAUGCAAGUCGAGCGGUAAGGCCCUUUCGGGGGUACACGAGCGGCGAACGGGCGAGUAACACGUGGGUGACCUGCCCUCAGCUCUGGGAUAAGCCUGGGGAAACUGGGUCUAAUACUGGAUAUGACUCCACGGUGCAUGUCGUGGGGUGGAAAGCCUUGUGCGGCUGAGGAUGGGCCCGCGGCCUAUCAGCUUGUUGGUGGGGNGAUGGCCUACCAAGGCGACGACGGGUAGCCGGCCUGAGAGGGCGACCGGCCACACUGGGACUGAGACACGGCCCAGGACUCCUACGGGAGGCAGCAGUGGGGAAUCUUGCGCAAUGGGCGAAAGCCUGACGCAGCGACGCCGCGUGAGGGAAUGACGGCCU
rnacentral:rRNA from 1 species